GUCGGUGUGGUCCAGUGAGUCGCACUUUCAGUUGCUGACGUGGACAGUCCCACAAAAGAAUGAAUGUGCUUGUGGGCUGCCCAUUGGCGCUGCGCAUGCCGUGCUGCCCAGACAUUUGAAAUGUGUCGCGCCUUGUUUCUGGUUGGAAGUGCUCUAUCAGAGGGUUGCCCCCUCGUGGGUUGGGUGCUUGGCAAGUCGAUGUGUUUGUUGCGGAGGUCUGUGCUCAUUACAGCUCAUAAUAUAGCGCAAGAGUUAGCUCUGCUUAGCCUGUUGUGGGCUCUGCAUCCUCAUCUUGUCAACCUGAUGCAGAAAAGGAUGCACUGAGUCCUUUGCAAGUUGCGCUAUGAUUUUCGUUGGAGGCAGCAUCGCAACAAGAAAGAUGCUGCAGCAUGUCACCAGCAUGUCACCUGGAAUGUAUGGAAUGUCCUCCCGCAAGUUGAGUCCUCAGACUGUAGUUGAUAUUUUCAUCCCUCCGAGGUGUUUCAUAGGGCCGAUUUGCCCGGGACUUACAAGUAGGCUGUGUUGAAAAGGGAUGCUCCUGUUGGUGCACAUAAACAUGUCAGUGCCUGGCCUGGGAGUGAGUAUUGAGGGCGCUGGUUGCUCAGAGCGAGCUGACUGAUCCAGGCCGGCAUGAAGCAUUUGAUGAGAACUGUUUUCCCUAGGCAUGAUGCCAUGAUCAUGAUACCUGCAAUUGCAGAGCUUGAUGUGAGACCUGUCAUUACAUGUUGAUCAUGUAAGUAUUGGUACACAGCCAUAUUUGUAUCAAUCGCAUGACAUUUCUCACCGUCAUUAAUGCUCCGACGUUUGAACC
rnacentral:lncRNA from 1 species